rnacentral:rRNA from 1 species
UGGGGAAUAUUGCACAAUGGGCGAAAGCCUGAUGCAGCGACGCCGCGUGAGGGAUGACGGCCUUCGGGUUGUAAACCUCUUUCAGCAGGGACGAAUCGCAAGUGACGGUACCUGCAGAAGAAGCACCGGCUAACUACGUGCCAGCAGCCGCGGUAAUACGUAGGGUGCAAGCGUUGUCCGGAAUUACUGGGCGUAAAGAGUUCGUAGGCGGUUUGUCGCGUCGUUUGUGACAACCAGCAGCUCAACUGCUGGCUUGCAGGCGAUACGGACAGACUUGAGUACUGCAGGGGAGACUGGAAUUCCUGGUGUAGCGGUGAAAUGCGCAGAUAUCAGGAGGAACACCGGUGGCGAAGGCGGGUCGCUGGGCAGUAACUGACGCUGAGGAACGAAAGCGUGGGUAGCGAACAGG